rnacentral:misc_RNA from 1 species
CUUCUGCUUCUCCAGGAGGGAACAACCUUGAUAAAACACCACCACGUCCUUGCUACUCCAAUGGGUUGGAAUCAUUUGAGUCCUUAAGAUUGAAAUCAGCCCAACAGAAGGUUUCUCCAGCUAUGAGCACUUUACAGAAGUACUAUGGUCUCAAAUCUUCAAAUCACAUGGGUGCAGCUGGAGGCACAGGAGUGGCAGUUCACAGAACAGGAAGCUCAGAUUCCCUAACUGAGGGGCUAUCGUCUAGAACCACACCAAUCUAUGAGUCUCCAUA